rnacentral:tRNA from 1 species
CAAAGUGUAGCUUAAAUAAAGUACCUAGUUUACACCCAGGAGAUUUCAUUCAAAAUGACCACUUUGA